UACUCUCACACUUCUGAUUCCUUUGGGAUUUGGGAGCGGUGGACUUGGGUGUUGCUGCUUGAGUUGUGGCUCACCUCAAAUUCGUUAGUGCAACUCUUGGUUGGACAUAGUACGGCGUGAUAAGUGUCUUCGCCGGCGCCUCCUUGCAAGGAGGGUGGCCGAUUGGGAGCUCUGUGCUUCAAACUGUCUUCGGACACUCUUUGACA
rnacentral:misc_RNA from 1 species